rnacentral:rRNA from 14 species
ACUUGGGUAUAGGGGCGAAAGACUAAUCGAACCAUACUAGUAGCUGGUUCCCUCCGAAAUUUCCCUCAGGAUAGCUGCGAUCGAAUGCCACUUUUAUCAGGUAAAGCGAAUGAUUAGAGGAUUCGGGGACGAAAUGUCCUCGACCUAUUCUCAAACUUUAAAUGGGUAAGAUCCAGUGGUUACUUGGGUGAACUUCUGGGAUAAAUGACAACUCUAAGUGGGCCAUUUUUGGUAAGCAGAACUGGCGAUGAGGGAUGAACCUAACGUCGGGCUAAGG